GUGAAGUCAGUAGGAGGAUUUAUGACUGGUUGGCUGGAUUAGCUUUUACCUAAUCUUCUUUAAUCUAACUUGGUGAAGUCAGUGGAAGGAUUAAGAUUAACUGGUCAAGUCUUUUUUUAUCUCUCAAUUCAACUAAUUAAAUCCUCUAAAAUUGUUAGGUCCCUAAAAAUGAAAUAGUUAUAGUGAUAACUAGAUUAUAGCCUUCGAUUAAGUUGGAUGAUAAUAAGUCUAAUGGUUAGAUAAUCAUUGGAGGCACCACACACCUGGCGUUCAUCUGGCUAUCGAAAUUAUUAUUUAUAAUAUGUUGUUUUAAUUGUGUCUUUCUGAUGAUGGUCAGGUUGGCCGAGCCACACUCGGGUCUGA
rnacentral:lncRNA from 1 species